UAAAAUCAAAACAUUUUAUUGGAAAGUUUGGAUUUGGAUUCAUGGAUACAUAAGAAACAAAUUAUUGUAUGGCCACAGGCCACUACUUUGAAUUAUGAAAAUGGAAGUGAAAGAGAGGCCUGCUGAUAUUAUCAUCCUCCCGCCAUCAAUUGUUACGGUUCAAGUUAUAAGAGUUAUAAGGAAUUUAAUUUAGUGCUCAACGUUAUUCUAAUCCUGUGUCAGUGUAGUACCUAGCAGAAGAAAUUAACUCAAAAUGGCGAAGUGCAAAGGAUUCCCACCAAAAACUGGAAUAUGUAAUAACUUUGAUCUAAUAGAGAUCGUUUUUAUUUGUGUGGCAUUCACGUUUCUGCUGAUAAUAGUCACCCAAGCUUGCCGCCUUCUCUCCUCAGGAUUCAUACAUUUUUAAACAUGUACUUAACAAUGGCGAUAAACUGUUCACCUGAAAACAAUAAAUAAAUACAUUUCCGCAUGGCUGGACCAGGAUUGAAAAAUCAGAAAACUACACUUGAACCAGAAGAAGUAGACUGUCCAUAUAAAUCAAUUACCGACAAAUUACCCAACCUUCGCUUGGAGUCGAUCGACUUAGUAGAUGCAAUAUGUAUCGCCAUUGCUGUAGUCUUGCUUGCGAUUAUGAUCAAGCAAAUUUGUUCCUUACUGCCAAAUCGACGACCGAGAACCAGAAGGGCCAGGCCGUGCUACUGCUGACCCUUGUUGCAUAUAGACGGGUGCUACAUGAAUUAAAAAGCUAGUCCUGGUGGAAUCCUCCCUAAGACGCCAUUUAUUCUGACAUCACUAAAGAAAUAUUAAAAAAAUGGCAAACUUAACUAACAGAUUCAAGAACGUGUAACAGUCGUAGAAGUAUGUAAGGAUCACGGGUGGAAUUUAGAGAUUUCUGACCAUACUCACAAAAAUAAAAACCACAAGACCUGUGUUAAUGUAAACUGAAAGAAAAAUACUACAACAUGGACGACGUGGUGUGAAAUAAAUAAAAUGAAAAGAAUUUUCUUCUCAUUUAUGAAGCCAUUUACUAAACGCCCGUCCAGUUGCAAAGUAAAUGGCAGAACUUCUGUUUAUCAAACAAAUCCACCUGAAGUGCUAAUGACAACACAAGAGCAUUACUUAAUCGUUUUGGUGGGAGUGGCCGUAGUAUAUCUGUUACGUGGACAAAAUAGCCCUUA